rnacentral:pre_miRNA from 1 species
AAUAAAUACAGCCAUAGAUAUCCGUGCCCAACGUUUGACCGUCCUUCUUAUUUGAAAAAUUUAUAAAAAAUUUGAAAAUAUUUAGUACUAUUCAUGUUUUAUCAUCUAAUAGCAACAAAAAUACUAAUCAUAAAAAAUUUUCAAAUAAGAUAAACGGUCAAACAUUGAACGUGAAUAGUGCAAAACUGCACUUAUU